rnacentral:rRNA from 1 species
GAUGUGCUUGCACAUCGCUGACGAGUGGCGGACGGGUGAGUAAUGCUUGGGAACUUGCCUUUGCGAGGGGGAUAACAGUUGGAAACGACUGCUAAUACCGCAUAAUGUCUUCGGACCAAACGGGGCUUCGGCUCCGGCGCAAAGAGAGGCCCAAGUGAGAUUAGCUAGUUGGUAAGGUAACGGCUUACCAAGGCGACGAUCUCUAGCUGUUCUGAGAGGAAGAUCAGCCACACUGGGACUGAGACACGGCCCAGACUCCUACGGGAGGCAGCAGUGGGGAAUAUUGCACAAUGGGGGAAACCCUGAUGCAGCCAUGCCGCGUGUGUGAAGAAGGCCUUCGGGUUGUAAAGCACUUUCAGUUGUGAGGAAAAGUUAGUAGUUAAUACCUGCUAGCCGUGACGUUAACAACAGAAGAAGCACCGGCUAACUCCGUGCCAGCAGCCGCGGUAAUACGGAGGGUGCGAGCGUUAAUCGGAAUUACUGGGCGUAAAGCGCACGCAGGCGGUUUGUUAAGCUAGAUGUGAAAGCCCCGGGCUCAACCUGGGAUGGUCAUUUAGAACUGGCAGACUAGAGUCUUGGAGAGGGGAGUGGAAUUCCAGGUGUAGCGGUGAAAUGCGUAGAGAUUGGAAGGAACAUCAGUGGCGAAGGCGGCCACCUGGACAAAAACUGACGCUGAGGCACGAAAGCGUGGGUAGCAAACAGGAUUAGAUACCCUGGUA